UACGGGGGGGGCAAGCGUUGUUCGGAAUUACUGGGCGUAAAGGGCGCGUAGGCGGCCAGACAAAGUCGAGCGUUAAAUUCCAGGGCUUAACCCUGGGCUGUUGCUCGAUACUAGUCGGCUAGAGUGUGGAAGAGGGUGCUGGAAUUCCCGGUGUAGCGGUGAAAUGCGUAGAUAUCGGAAGGAACACCAGUGGCGAAAGCGGCUUCCUGGUCCAGCACCGACGUUCAGGCACGAAAGCGUGGGGAGCAAACAGG
rnacentral:rRNA from 1 species